AGCUGCCAUUAUUCUACUCCGGUGGCGCCAGGCACGUCACUCCCAAACAGGAGUUCACUACUCACCUUGGUCAUCCCAUUGUUUUCUCUUACAAAGAUAGAACCCAAGCCUACAGCUUCAUCCUUCACAAAUUCAGGGCUAAAUUGACAGGGAUCAAAGCAAACAAGCUUAAUCAUGCAGGUAGAAUUACUUAUAUCAAUUCUGUGUUAGCUUCCAUUCCCAUUUACUAUAUGCAGAAUAUUCUUUUUUCUAAAACUUUCACUGAGAAGACCAAUUCCAUACUUCGUCGCUUCUGGUGGCAAGGGGUUCAAGAUGAGGAUUCUUCUAAGCCCUUUCACUUCAGAUCUUGGGAUGGCAUUUGCCAACCUAAAGCUAUUGGAGGUCUGGGAAUUAGAAAUAUACAUUCUGUCAACAAAAGUUUGGUGCUACACUCUGCUUGGUUGGUUGCCUCUAAUAAAGAUCCUUUUCUCACAUCUGUUCUCAAAGCCAAAUGUUUUCACAAUUCUUCUUUUUGGAAAUCACCUUAGCAUGGCCCUAGGUCUGCCUUCUGGUCCUCCAUCCUUCAGGUUAAACAUCACUUGUAUCAACAAUCUAUUAUCUAGAUUCACAGUGGCAACUCUAAUAUUUGGAAAACAUUCAUGAUCAGCUAAUUAUUCCUUCAGUUCCUACCCAGUUACCCAAUACUGUUUCUGAUCUCUGGAGCUCUCAGACCUCCUCUUGGAAUCUGGAUAUUUUCAACUCCACCUUCCAACAAAGAGCUGCUACCUCCAUUCUUCAGACAGACAAAGUGCUUUCUUCUGAUUCUGAUCUUCUUUGUUGGAAACCUUCUGUUCAGGGAAUCUGCUCUAGUAAAGAAGCUUACAAAUACCUCUCUUCACAAACCGUUCGCUCCCUCCCGAAUCAGGGACCUCGUAGCAUCUCUUCUGUCCUUUUAAGUAUUCUGGAUAAAAUUUGGAAGCACAAAAUCAUCCCUCCUCGCAUCAAAGCUUUCUCUUGGAGGUUGAUCAGGCACUCUCUUGCUACAGGUCUUAGAGCUGGUACCUUUAGUUCUAGAAUUGACAAAACUUGCAAAUGUUGUGGGCAUGAUGAAUCUGAUUUCCAUCUCUUUUUUGAGUGUGAUUUUGCCAGAGCUGUUUGGUUCUCUGCAGAUCCUCCUCUGAGAACAGAUCGGCUGUCCCCUGAACCUGAUGGUCUCCAACAUACUUUAGCUACAAUUCUAACAAAUAAUUUCUCAGAUGACCUUUUGCAGCAAAUUUUUACCAGGCUGUGGUACCUUUGGAGAGCAAGAAAUGAUUUCAGAUUUAACAACAAAAAAUGGUCUGUUAGCAGAGUUAACUAUGAGACUCAAGCUGACAUUGCUACUUCACUUUUAUAUGCUCCUAUCUCCACUCAGUCAGGAAAUCACACUUCUCAGCCGGGCGGUGCAUCCUCCUCUGCUCAUCAGACCCUUCAUCAGGUUCCUUCGUUUUCUGUUGCUGUGCAGGGUUCUCCCAGGCGAUCGGAUCAGCAGGCAAUCAAUAUGGCGUUCACAGAUGCAGCACUUCGUCCUGAUGGUACAAGUACCUCUUCUACAUUUGCAGGUUUGGGAGUUGUUUUGGACCUCAAGGUUUCACCACAUCGAUGCCGCCUUCACAUUCAUGCAAAAGCUUUGGUGGAUUCGGUUCUCAUGGUAGCCAAUGCUCUGCAGGUUCAAUGUAUUUCUUUGGCAUCUGACUGUCAGCAAGCAGUGUCACUUCUACAGCAGGAUUACGCGCCUACUCCUUGGAGGCUUAGGCCAUGGCUAUCUCAAUUUCAGGUUCUCCGAUCCAACACAAGCAUUCAAGUGAUAAAAAUCUCAAGACAAGAGAAUGGUGCUGCACACUGUCUGGCUGCUCAGGCAAAAGCUGUGACCUCUCAAAGUACCUGUAGUUUAUCUUGUACCACG
rnacentral:lncRNA from 1 species